rnacentral:rRNA from 1 species
GUAUAAGAGACAGCAGUAGCCGCGGGAAUACGGAGGGUGCAAGCGUUAAUCGGAAUUACUGGGCGUAAAGCGCACGCAGGCGGUCUGACAAGUCAGAUGUGAAAUCCCCGGGCUUAACCUGGGAACUGCAUUUGAAACUGUCAGGCUGGAGUCUUGUAGAGGGGGGUAGAAUUCCAGGUGUAGCGGUGAAAUGCGUAGAGAUCUGGAGGAAUACCGGUGGCGAAGGCGGCCCCCUGGACAAAGACUGACGCUCAGGUGCGAAAGCGUGGGGAGCAAACAGGAUUAGAUACCCCUGUAGUCCCUGUCUCUUAUAC